UGGGUCAUGUGAUGAGAAACAAUAUGCAACUCACGACGGUCAUCUGAGACACUUAGUGUGUAAUGGUGCAGUCAUAUUAUCUCUGAUGCCCUG
rnacentral:snoRNA from 2 species